GUACUCACUUCCGCAGUACAUAUAUAAAAAUCGGAAGUCUACAGAGAAGAGUAGCAUGACCCCUAUGCAAGGA
ensembl:snRNA U6 U6 spliceosomal RNA